ACAAACCGGCGUCAAAGCCAAAGUUGACAUUUUUUGGAAAGAUCGUUUUCCUCUCUCCGACAGAUAAAUGAGGGUGAUAGACGAUGGGAUGUUGAAGGUUUUAUGGUGCCUCGGUAACGUCUGUUCUUCUGUCCAACGGUGAGAUCUGGACACUCUACCGACGACGACUUAGGCAACGGGACAACUUUUAUAUGAGGCGCCUUAAACCAGCUGCAGAGUGAGUGAUACGACUGAGCUGGAACGAACUGGACAACCGCGAUCACAUUUUGUCAGCAAUUGACACCCGGGGGUCGACCAACUUUCUGCAACGGACAAACUGUGACCUCUCUUGUUCUCAUUGGGAAACAACACGCCAAAGCACCACGUUUUUUUGGUUAAUUUUAUUGAACCACAUAUAUGGCUGGCUCUGGCUGCUGUAGCUAUAUUUCACCGUUAGGGGAGAGGAAAUGAGUGAUAAGAAAGGGUUCAGUUGGAGCCCACCCGAGCUCACCCGAGCCGACUUGCUGUCGUUGCCAGUUUGUCGUCAAACUGACGAGAACCAGCGAGGGACGAGCAGUUGUUUCACUGGCAUUCUUGCCAUCCUGGCUGAGCAGAUAAAAGAAAUAGAACUUGUUGUGGACAGCGGAAAGGCAUCCAGCACAUAGAUGGCUCUCUCCAAAGUCGUGACAUCAUUAUCCCCAAAAGAAUCUCUUUCCCCUUGGGAUGCAAAUGAACCACUUUGUCUUAAUUCAAAUUGGUGCAAGGCACUGGC